UAGCGUAUAUUAAAGUUGUUGCAGUUAAAAAGCUCGUAGUCGGAUUUCAGGGCGGGGCUGCCGGUCUGCCGAUGGGUAUGCACUGGUGGGCUCGUUCUUCCUUCUGGGGACUGCGCCUACUCUUGACUGAGCGGGCGUAGGAAACAGGACUUUUACUUUGAAAAAAUCAGAGUGUUUAAAGCAGGCCAAGAUGCUCUUGCAUGGAUUAGCAUGGGAUAAUGGAAUAGGACUUUGGUGCUAUUUUGUUGGUUUCGAACACCGAAGUAAUGAUUAAUAGGGACAGUCAGGGGCACUCGUAUUCCGUUGAGAGAGGUGAAAUUCUUAGACCAAUGGAAGACGAACUUCUGCGAAAGCAUUUG
rnacentral:rRNA from 1 species